GCCAGGGGGCAAGUCUUUCCAGCAGCACCCACCCCCGUGUCUCCUUCGGUCUCAGCCUGCGCCCACCCCCGGAUGGGGACCCUGGGUCUCUCCCUGAGAUCAAAGGAUGCCACCCAGUACCCUGUGAGGAGGAGGAAAGCGGGGCGACCCUAAGCCUUCUUCCAGGGCUGCACGUAUAUGUGAGGCGGCCAAAGCCUGCGACAGCCGAGGCACACCGCAUGGAGGCCAGUCGCCUCAUGGGAUUAACUAUUUAAUCACCUCCUGUGUCCCUUUAUUCUGUCCCUAUCAAUCAACAUGGCUCAAUGAGGAAACUUGGUCUACCAGAAGACCCCACAGUUUUUUCAGCUCUAUGAGGUGGCAGUCCCAGUUCCAAGCCCGCUGUGAGGAGUGCAUGCCUGUCGACUAUUCCCCUUGGUGUUGGCAUGGGGACCUUGGUGGGAGGCACACCUUCUUGCCGUGUUGGACCGAGCAAGAAGCAACCGUGUUGGGUCCUCAUCAACCCCUACUCAGGUUCUGUGAGAGUCUUCGAGUAUCUGUGGAUCUAAACUAGGAAGAGACCUAAACAGAGUCAGGACUGCGUGUGCUCAGUCAGCUGUGUCCGACUCUGCGACCCCAUGGACUAUAGCCUGCCAGGCUCCCUGUCCACGGGAUUCUCCAGGUAAGAGUACUGGAGUGGGUUAUCAUGCCCUCCUCCAGGGGAUCUUCCUGACCCAGGGAUCAAACCUCCCUCUCUUAAAUCUCCUGCAUUGGCAGGCAAGUUCUUUACCACUAGUGGAACCCCAGUACCACCUGGGAAGCCUCUAUGAAGGAUCCCAAAGUCCAGGUCAGUUUGUUAUACACCAAGGGUAAAAUCUGCUAUGACUCAGUCAUUUUAUAUUUUCUGAUGAAAUAUUUUCUAUAAAUAUAAUUUAACAUUAAAGUUAUAGAAAUACCACUCAUACAUUUUUAUUAGAGGUAUUUCCCUAAAAACAAUCAACAUUCUUAACAUUUAUAUGAAAAAAUAAGAAUCAGAGUCUCCAUUAGUCAUAAAUCACAGUGACUUUAGGAGUGUGAGGAGUUUAUAUUCAUUCACCUACCGGAGUAGUCAGCUCAAUUAUUCAUACCACUAAAAGGAAAAAGAUGGGGGAGUGUAUUCUCAGUGAUGUGCAUUUUUGACUUAAAAUCCAUUCAUUACAGGAUAGCUUUGCAGCCCUCUUUAUUAGAUUUAAAUUUUUAUUUUUAACUACAACAGCAAACCCACAUAUUAUCACAAGAUACACAUCACAACGGGGCAUACUGGAAAGUAAAAAAAGCUCUAUUUCCAUUCUCACAUCUACACAUGUUCCUCCCUCAAAGGACACUAAUAUCAUGGCAAACAUUUUCUUCUGCUUUCAGUAAAUUACCAGUGGUUAUACGUUAUGUUAGAACACUGAUUUCAUCUCAAUAAUUUCUCAAAACAUCCUUUUGUUAUAUGUUUGAUUUCCAAUCACUUAUUAUUAAUAGAAUAGACAAAAUCAAAAUGAACAUUAAGGCACAUACCUUCUUGCUCUGGUUAAAAUGAUCUAUGAUAAAUUCCCAGGAGUGUAAUGCAAAAACACAUACUUGUUAAAAAGUGAAGAAGGCAAAUGGUCAGUAAAAGGCAAGUUCUCAUCUCUUGCUAAUUUAGUGCUGCAUCUUUUUAUUUUUUUUCUGUUUUCCUGCCAUCAGAAGACUUGAAAAGGAAAGGAAUCAAGCGUCAUCCUGUCUCUCCUUUACAAACUGUAUCUCAGGGUAACCAGACAGUAGGUGAACCUAAGUGUCUCUUUUAUAAAUGCAUUCCAGUUAACAGAGAAGAAAUGCUAGAGAGUAUUACCAUGGUGCAGCCACUUCUAAAUUAGUGGAAAGGGAAAAGAUCAUCAACAGUUGCUAACAUCACAGAGAGAAAGGUGACCAGACGUUGUGUGCCUCCUUCAUGAACCUGCCAUCUCCUAACUUCAACCAGCGAGUCACAGGGAACAGGGGACGAAGAAAUACGUGAAGCAAUGAGUGCCUGCGGUCUGCGAGACCCGGGCUCUGGAAAACACUGCGGGACAGACAACCUGAUGUCUCAAUGUUCUUAACAAGUAAAUAGCAAAGGAAAAGAAAGAAGGAACCUACACGCUGCAGAUACAUCAGUUAAUCACAACCUUAUGAGGAUGCCAAUUAAAACAGCUGACGAUUGUAUUGGUUAUUGUUUGAUGAAUCCUUAUCUUUUAGAGACAGGAACUGAAUUAUGAGAUGAGGCAAUGUCUGGGAUGUGCUUGAAAACAGUACAGGAAGAAGGAAAGUGAGUUGAGAACAAGACUGGCUACCAAUUGGUAAUUGUUGACUCUGAGUGACGGGUACAUAGGGGCUCAUUGCAUUACUCUUUUAUAUGCCAUCUGCUUAAACUGUCCACAGUAAAAUCUUUUUUUUUUAAGAGAUGGUGAUCAAAUAUUUAAUAAAAAAGAAUAAACUCAAAGAAAAACACCAGAACCCUGUUAUCCUUUGAUGCAUGACAUAUUCUUUUCCUCUGUAUUACUGAGCAGAUUUUUCUUCUAAAAAACUUCAGAGAGGCGUUUUCUUUUUCCAUAGUUACUAUCUCUCUGAGGAAGUAUGUUUGAUCUUUGGUCUCCUGCCACAGAGUUAUAUUUAGACUUUUCCAACAACAGUUUUUGUUUUUUUUUCAGAUCUAAAAAAGAAAAAUGUCAUUUGAGCAUCUGGACAGAAAACAGGCCCAAGUUCAAAGGAUUCCCAACGAGAAGCAGGGGAGAGAAAGGAUAUAACUAUUUCACUUUCUUGGCUAGUUCUCUGCUCUUUCAUCUUGGCCUUUUCUCAUUUUUUCAGUAUUUCCUAAUGCUAAAAUUCCAAUUUAAAAUAUGAGUGUGCUUAUUUUUAGGCUGCAAGGCCACCGGCAAAGGGACUUAAUGGAAAUAGGCCAAACCUCAUAGAAAUAAGGCCAUGGGAAAGAAACAGCAACCAAAAUAGAAACUAUGUCUUUGGUGCUGGUUUGGUAAUACAAUCAGUUGGCCCCUGACUGGCAUCACACACAAAUCACUGGUCAAAGCCAGAAGGGACAGUCAUGAGUUUUUGCUAGGGACACAAUCUAAGGGGUACAGGUCAAAAUAUGCUGAUUUUCUCUGAUGGGGGAAGGAUAUCUUUAUGCUAAUCAGAAUCAGAGGCAAAACUCAAGGGUCCCAAUUAAAAAAAAAAAAUUUACCAUCAGUCCCUGUGCUGCCCACUUCAGCACAAAAAUUACUGCAAGGAGAACAGAGACCCAAGACAGAGGUGAGAAAUUUGUAAUUGAAAUGUUAUGGAGAGUAAGUUUUGAUGUGCUUGGCCAAAUUGUUGAAAGCAAGAGGCUGAAUCACUCAGCCAGAAAACAGGAUAAAAAAGAAACUACAGUAGUUAAGGGUCAAAGAAUAAAGAGUUCUUCCUGAACACAGAAAUAACUGAGUAUGUUUUUUUAAAAAAAGCCGUCAGAUAGGAUUUCCCAGAACAGUAAUACAUUCUCUUGAAACCUGGCAUCAAGAAACAGUUCACUAAGUUCUGAAAACCUUUGUAAAAAUUCUGUUUUCCUCUCUCCUUUACUUGACGCUUCCUUAACAACACUGCUCUGAUGUUACCUCUCCCCAGCUAUUCAUUGAGAGCUUUGUCAAAGAUGAACGUUACUGCACCCUUAGGAAUGUGCCUCAGAACCAGUGCUUUAAGAUCCAGUCUUUACAAAUUGACAAGAAAAAAAGACACGAAAAUUCAAUGGAAGAGUGUUUAGGAGUUAUGAACAGUGAAGUCAUGAAAAAGAAAACCCAGGUGGCUAAUAAACAGCAGCUCAACCUUUCUAUGAACCAGGGAAAUGCAACUCAGAGAGAGACCGCCACUCACUCAUCAGCCAGUCCAACUCUAUCUAGCCUGGGGAGACCAGCUCUCCUGUCAGGGCGGGUGGGGUGAAGGCAAGCUGACUACGCCUGGCAAGGCUGAGAUCUGCAUACCCCUGGGGUGCAGCAAGUCUCCCAGAGACAAACAUUCACUCCUGGACGGAGAUCUUCCUAGGCAUGCUCAAUUUAGCACUUCAAUGUCACAAAGAAAAAGUGGAAACAAAUGUUUUUCAGUGCAGGAAUAAGUAAACAAAGGAGGCAUGAAAUGCUAACCAGUGGGUAAAAGGAAUCAACUGGAUCUACCUCCACCUACAUACUUCUUCCCUGGUGGCUCAGCUGGUAAAGAAUCCGCCUGCAGUGCGGGAGACCUGGGUUCGAUCCCUGGGUCGGGAAGAUCCCCUGGAGAAGGAAUGGCUACCCGCUCCAGUAUCCUGGCCUGGAGACUUCCAUGGACUGUUCCAUGGGGUCGCAAAGAGUCAGACACCACUGAGUGACUUUCACUUUCAUCAACCCAAUGCACAUGAGUCUGAGCAACCUCCAGGAGACAGUGAAGGACAGGGAAGUCUGGCAUGCUGCAGUCCCUGGGGUCUCAAAGAGUUGGAAACAACUGAGUGACUGAACAGUAACACAUAUACAUGCAAGUGAAACUAUAAAAAACAGACAAGGACAGUGUCAUACCAAAUUUCAGACUGCCUUCUGGGGGACAGGAAUGGGAGGGAGAGGGAACGUUACCAUUAUCUAGAAUAACACUUCUUAUAAUCCAAUCUUCAGUUUCCCAAAUUUUCUGGCACAGGAAAAAAGAUAAACAGUGGCUAAUUCUGGGUGGCAGGAAUAUGGGUAUUUGUUACACGCCUCUUUGUCCUUUUCGAUAUUUUGGAAUGUCUUCCUCGCCCCAAAGACAACAUACAGGAAAGUCUGGGAAGACAUGGCGUUCCCUCGGGACUUGCGAACACAGCUUGGCUGGCAGUUUCACCCAGCUGACGUGCUGUCUGGUUUUCGCUUUCACGUCUCAUCUACAUCUAAGCUGCUUAGUCCCCAGAGGUUGUGUUUUCAGUAACACUAGCAGAGUUCUGUGUACCAGCGGGGCUCAGAGACACACUUCAAAACCGAGGUCACUAUUAAGUUAUUUUCUCAAAUUUUCUAAAGAUGGCUCAGUAAGCACCGCAUGACUCUGAGCAGGGUGGUUGGCUUACUUCACUAGGCUCUCUGUCUACAAGAGCGUACUGAGCGGGGAAAUGCUGCCCUGAGCCCAGGUAACCUCUCCAUUUACCUGUGAUGUGUCCAUUGUGUUCCUUGAGUUCAUGAGCUUUCACCCACUGGCCCCCGUUCUUCUUAUAGAUGUGGACUUCGUGAUUAUUGGGGCUAAGGG